CGGCAGCGGGGGUAGCUUGCUACCUGCCGGCGAGUGGCGAACGGGUGAGUAAUACAUCGGAACGUGCCCUGUAGUGGGGGAUAACUAGUCGAAAGACUAGCUAAUACCGCAUACGACCUGAGGGUGAAAGUGGGGGACCGCAAGGCCUCAUGCUAUAGGAGCGGCCGAUGUCUGAUUAGCUAGUUGGUGGGGUAAAGGCCCACCAAGGCGACGAUCAGUAGCUGGUCUGAGAGGACGAUCAGCCACACUGGGACUGAGACACGGCCCAGACUCCUACGGGAGGCAGCAGUGGGGAAUUUUGGACAAUGGGGGCAACCCUGAUCCAGCAAUGCCGCGUGUGUGAAGAAGGCCUUCGGGUUGUAAAGCACUUUUGUCCGGAAAGAAAUCGCUUCGG
rnacentral:rRNA from 1 species